rnacentral:lncRNA from 1 species
GAAAAGAGGCCAUGAUGUUAAGAAAUGAUGGAGGUAAAGUCUGAACGUGGGCUAGACGUGACAUCUUGGAGAAAGUGUAAUGAUGAAUCUGUAUUGGAACUUGAGAUUACAAAAAACUUGGAAAUAAUGAAAUUAAAUGACAUGGCAUCAAAACAUUGGUCGACAACAAAUGAUUGUUUCUCCAAAACAGUCGAAACAUCUUUG